CACGUAGGGUGCGAGCGUUGUCCGGAAUUAUUGGGCGUAAAGAGCUCGUAGGCGGUGUGUCGCGUCGGCCGUGAAAACCUGCAGCUUAACUGUGGGCUUGCGGUCGAUACGGGCAUCACUGGAGUUCGGCAGGGGAGACUGGAAUUCCUGGUGUAGCGGUGAAAUGCGCAGAUAUCAGGAGGAACACCGGUGGCGAAGGCGGGUCUCUGGGCCGAUACUGACGCUGAGGUGCGAAAA
rnacentral:rRNA from 1 species